rnacentral:rRNA from 1 species
UGACCAGACUCCUACGGGAGGCAGCAGUGAGGAAUAUUGGUCAAUGGGCUUACGCCUGAACCAGCCAAGUCGCGUGGGGGAAGACUGCCCUAUGGGUUGUAAACCUCUUUUGUCAGGGAGCAACGCCGGCUACGUGUAGCCGGACUGAGAGUACCUGAAGAAAAAGCAUCGGCUAACUCCGUGCCAGCAGCCGCGGUAAUACGGAGGAUGCGAGCGUUAUCCGGAUUUAUUGGGUUUAAAGGGUGCGUAGGCGGACAGUCAAGUCAGCGGUAAAAAUGCGGUGCUCAACGCCGUACAGCCGUUGAAACUGGCGGGCUGGAGUUGGAGAGAAGUACGCGGAAUGCGCGGUGUAGCGGUGAAAUGCUUAGAUAUCGCGCAGAACCCCGAUUGCGAAGGCAGCGUACCGGCUCCACACUGACGCUGAGGCACGAAAGCGUGGGUAUCGAACAGGAUUAGAUACCCCAGUA